UUUGGGUUGUAAAGCUCUUUCGUCGGGGAAGAAAAUGACUGUACCCGAAUAAGAAGGUCCGGCUAACUUCGUGCCAGCAGCCGCGGUAAUACGAAGGGACCUAGCGUAGUUCGGAAUUACUGGGCUUAAAGAGUUCGUAGGUGGUUGAAAAAGUUGGUGGUGAAAUCCCAGAGCUUAACUCUGGAACUGCCAUCAAAACUUUUCAGCUAGAGUAUGAUAGAGGAAAGCAGAAUUUCUAGUGUAGAGGUGAAAUUCGUAGAUAUUAGAAAGAAUACCAAUUGCGAAGGCAGCUUUCUGGAUCAUUACUGACACUGAGGAACGAAAGCAUGGGUAGCGAAGAGGAUUAGAUACCCUCGUAGUCCAUGCCGUAAACGAUGUGUGUUAGACGUUGGAAAUUUAUUUUCAGUGUCGCAGCGAAAGCGAUAAACACACCGCCUGGGGAGUACGACCGCAAGGUUAAAACUCAAAUGAAUUGACGGGGACCCGCACAAGUAGUGGAGCAUGUGGUUUAAUUCGAAGAUACGCGCAGAACCUUACCAACACUUGACAUGUUCGUCGCGACUUUAAGAGAUUAAAGUUUUCGGUUCGGCCGGACGAAACACAGGUGCUGCAUGGCUGUCGUCAGCUCGUGUCGUGAGAUGUUGGGUUAAGUCCCGCAACGAGCGCAACCCUCACUUUUAGUUGCCAUCAUUAAGUUGGGCACUCUGAAAGAACUGCCAGUGAUAAGCUGGAGGAAGGUGGGGAUGACGUCAAGUCCUCAUGGCCCUUACGUGUUGGGCUACACACGUGCUACAAUGGUAUCUACAACAGGAAGCAAAACUGCGAGGUUAAGCAAAUCCUUAAAAGAUACCUCAGUUCGGAUUGCACUCUGCAACUCGAGUGCAUGAAGCUGGAAUUACUAGUAAUCGUGGAUCAGCGUGCCACGGUGAAUGCGUUCCCGGGUCUUGUACACACCGCCCGUCACACCAUGG
rnacentral:rRNA from 1 species